rnacentral:rRNA from 1 species
UACAGAGGGCGCGAGCGUUGUCCGGAAUCACUGGGCGUAAAGGGCGCGUAGGUGGUGGCUUAAGCGUGCGGUGAAAGCUCGGGGCUCAACUCCGAGUCGGCCGUGCGAACUGGGCUCACUGGAGCAUAGUAGAGGCAGGUGGAAUUCCGGGUGUAGCGGUGGAAUGCGUAGAGAUCCGGAAGAACACCAGUGGCGAAGGCGGCGUCCUGGACCGGUGCUGACGCUGAGGAGCGAAAGCGUGGGGAGCGAUCCGG